GAAAGCUUGCUUUUCCUAGGCGUCGACCGGCGCACGGGUGAGUAACGCGUAUCCAACCUGCCCAUGUCUGGGGAAUAACCCGUCGAAAGGCGGACUAACUCCCCAUGGUCUCCGAUGAGGACAUCUGAAUUGGAGUAAAGCUUCGCGGACAUGGAUGGGGAUGCGUCUGAUUAGGUAGUAGGCGGGGUAACGGCCCACCUAGCCUACGAUCAGUAGGGGUUCUGAGAGGAAGGUCCCCCACAUUGGAACUGAGACACGGUCCAAACUCCUACGGGAGGCAGCAGUGAGGAAUAUUGGUCAAUGGACGAGAGUCUGAACCAGCCAAGUAGCGUGCAGGAUGACGGCCCUAUGGGUUGUAAACUGCUUUUGCGCGGGGAUAACACCCUCCACGUGCUGGGGGUCUGCAGGUACCGCGCGAAUAAGGACCGGCUAAUUCCGUGCCAGCAGCCGCGGUAAUACGGAAGGUCCGGGCGUUAUCCGGAUUUAUUGGGUUUAA
rnacentral:rRNA from 1 species